rnacentral:rRNA from 1 species
GUACUGCGAGUGAAGCGGGAAAAGCUCAAAUUUAAAAUCUGGCAGUCUCACUGUCCGAGUUGUAAUCUGGAGAAGCAUUUUCUGUGUCGGACCGUGUACAAGUCUCUUGGAAUAGAGCGUCAUAGAGGGUGAGAAUCCCGUCCAUGACACGGACGCCCGAUACUUUGUGAUAUGCUCUCGAAGAGUCGAGUUGUUUGGGAAUGCAGCUCAAAAUGGGUGGUAAAUUCCAUCUAAAGCUAAAUAUUGGCGAGAGACCGAUAGCGAACAAGUACCGUGAGGGAAAGAUGAAAAGCACUUUGGAAAGAGAGUUAAACAGUACGUGAAAUUGUUGAAAGGGAAACGCUUGAAGUCAGUCGCGUUGUCUGAGACUCAGCCUUGCUUUUGCUUGGUGUACUUCUUAGUUAACGGGUCAACAUCAAUUUUGGUUGGUGGAUAAAGGCGUCGGGAAUGUGGCACCUUCGGGUGUGUUAUAGCCCUUCGUUGCAUACAUUGACUGGGAUUGAGGACUGCAGCACGCCGUCAUGGCCGGGGGUUCGCCCUA